UUUACAGACGAAUCUCCAGCUAGCGUGGCCGUGACGAACUCUAAAUUACGUUUAACACGUUAAUGUGACUUUGUAAAUGGCCCAAGUCGGACCGAAACGUCGUCGUAAGCUCCUCUCUUCAAUGUUCAGGUCAUUUGCAUAAGAAAUGACAUAGAUUGAGUCAAAUAAGGCGGGUUAGCGUCAUCCAUGAACCACCUGUAGGUGAAGGUGAGAAAUAUACAGUGCCAACACUGACAGGCAGACUACACACAUGUUACCUUUCUAAUAUCAGUGACAACAUAAGAAGCGCAGUGAGCAAGUGUCCGAGGAUUGACAGGCUUGGUAUCUCUCCUAGACAGUGACAAAACUCAGUUAUGCUGAUGGCAGUGGCAGUACCUCUGGCACAGCGACAGCACCACUCUCUGGCCACCCUAGCACUCGUAGCUCAGGUCCACUAUGAGUCACACAGUAUUCAUAAAAAAACUCCAGUUUGGAGUGGUGGUGGUGGGUUUGGCAGCAGCAAUGCAGGUGUGCUGCAGGAGGGAUCCGGCUGGUCACCUGCCGGCACAACAAGAGGCAGCGGUAGUCUGGGUGGCAGCAGUUCUCCCAAGAGUGGCAUCAGCAGUGGCGGUAUCAAGUGUGCCUCGCUCUUCACUUGGCUAACCUGACAGAGCAUUCAGAAAGAGACCACAGUGAGCCCUAACAUUCUGGAGUUCCUGGAGUUAGCUCUGGAACCUCUGCCUGUGCCUGAGCCCCAAAACAAGUCUCCUGCUGCCUCUCAAGGAGAGUCGGUAUUCAACGUGGACAUAGAUACUUCAGUAGUUGCUGGUGGCAACGGUGUGCCUUAUGUUUACGUAUCUUUUCCUGUGGACAUUGGUGUUUACUUCCAUGUGCAGCCUUCAACCACUAGUGGUGGGAAUGGGACCAAGACUGUGGUGUCUACUCCAGCUGCUGCUGGUGGUUGGGGUGUAUGGAAGCGAAAUCCUUCUUCAAGUGAACUCCCCUUAUAACACCCUCACUAUGGACCCUCACACUAUUCACUUUAGCCACGCUAAAGGUAAGAUAAAAAUUAUGUAUGUAUG